GGGGGCAUAGCUCAGUUGGUAGAGCGCCUGCUUUGCAAGCAGGAUGUCAGGAGUUCGAGUCUCCUUGCCUCCA
rnacentral:tRNA from 3 species